rnacentral:rRNA from 1 species
CCUACGGGAGGCAGCAGUAGGGAAUCUUCCACAAUGGACGAAAGUCUGAUGGAGCAACGCCGCGUGAGUGAAGAAGGGUUUCGGCUCGUAAAGCUCUGUUGGUAGUGAAGAAAGAUAGAGGUAGUAACUGGCCGUUAUUUGACGGUAAUUACUUAGAAAGUCACGGCUAACUACGUGCCAGCAGCCGCGGUAAUACGUAGGUGGCAAGCGUUGUCCGGAUUUAUUGGGCGUAAAGCGAGUGCAGGCGGUUCAAUAAGUCUGAUGUGAAAGCCUUCGGCUCAACCGGAGAAUUGCAUCAGAAACUGUUGAACUUGAGUGCAGAAGAGGAGAGUGGAACGCCAUGUGUAGCGGUGAAAUGCGUAGAUAUAUGGAAGAACACCAGUGGCGAAGGCGGCUCUCUGGUCUGCAACUGACGCUGAGGCUCGAAAGCCUGGGUAGCGAACAGGAUUAGAUACCCGGGUAGUC